AUUGAACGCUGGCGGCAUGCCUUACACAUGCAAGUCGAACGGCAGCGGACCUUCGGGUGCCGGCGAGUGGCGAACGGGUGAGUAAUAUAUCGGAACGUACCUUUCAGUGGGGGAUAACGUAGCGAAAGUUACGCUAAUACCGCAUAUUCUGUGAGCAGGAAAGCGGGGGAUCGCAAGACCUUGCGCUGAUGAGCGGCCGAUAUCAGAUUAGCUAGUUGGUAGGGUAAAGGCCUACCAAGGCGACGAUCCGUAGCUGGUCUGAGAGGACGACCAGCCACACUGGAACUGAGACACGGUCCAGACUCCUACGGGAGGCAGCAGUGGGGAAUUUUGGACAAUGGGGGCAACCCUGAUCCAGCCAUUCCGCGUGAGUGAAGAAGGCCUUCGGUUGUAAGCUCUUUCGGUCAGGAACGAAACGGUA
rnacentral:rRNA from 1 species